CACGUAGGGCGCAAGCGUUGUCCGGAAUUAUUGGGCGUAAAGAGCUCGUAGGUGGUUUGUUACGUCCGCUGUGAAAUCCUAGGGCUUAACCCUGGGCUUGCAGUGGAUACGGGCAGACUAGAGGUAGGUAGGGGAGAAUGGAAUUCCUGGUGUAGCGGUGAAAUGCGCAGAUAUCAGGAGGAACACCGGUGGCGAAGGCGGUUCUCUGGGCCUUACCUGACACUGAGGAGCGAAAAGCGUGGGGGAGCGAACAGG
rnacentral:rRNA from 1 species